GUUAGGGUUAGGGUUGGAGCUAGGGUUAGGGUUAGGGUUAGGGUUGGAGUUAAGGUUGGAGCUAGGGUUAGGGUUAGGGUUAGGGUUGGAGCUAGGGUUAGGGUUAGGGUUAGGGUUGGAGUUAGGGUUGGAGCUAGGGUUAGGGUUAGGGUUAGGGUUAGGGUUGGAGCUAGGGUUAGGGUUAGGGUUAGGGUUGGAGUUAGGGUUGGAGCUAGGGUUAGGGUUAGGGUUGGAGCUAGGGUUAGGGUUAGGGUUGGAGCUAGGGUUAGGGUUAGGGUUGGAGUUAGGGUUUGAGCUAGGGUUAGGGUUAGGGUUGGAGCUAGGGUUAGGGUUGGAGUUAGGGUUGCAGCUAGGGUUAGGGUUAGGGUUAGGGUUGGAGCUAGGGUUAGGGUUAGGGUUGGAGUUAGGGUUAGGGUUAGGGUUAGGGUUGGAGUUAGGGUUGGAGCUAGGGUUAGGGUUAGGGUUGGAUCUAGGGUUAGGGUUAGGGUUGGAGCUAGGGUUAGGGUUCGGGUUAGGGUUGGAGCUAGGGUUAGGGUUAGGGUUGGAGCUAGGGUUAGGGUUAGGGUUGGAGCUAGGGUUAGGGUUAGGGUUGGAGCUAGGGUUAGGGUUAGGGUUGGAGCUAGGGUUAGGGUUCGGGUUAGGGUUGGAGUUAGGGUUUGAGCUAGGGUUAGGGUUAGGGUUGGAGCUAGGGUUAGGGUUGGAGUUAGGGUUGCAGCUAGGGUUAGGGUUAGGGUUAGAGCUAGGGUUAGGGUUAGGGUUAGGGUUGGAGUUAGGGUUGGAGCUAGGGUUAGGGUUAGGGUUAGAGCUAGGGUUAGGGUUAGGGUUAGGGUUGGAGUUAGGGUUGGAGCUAGGGUUAGGGUUAGGGUUAGAGCUAGGGUUAGGGUUAGGGUUAGGGUUGGAGUUAGGGUUGCAGCUAGGGUUAGGGUUAGGGUUGGAGCUAGGGUUAGGGUUAGGGUUGGAGUUAGGGUUAGGGUUAGGGUUAGGUAUAUGCAUUUUGGAGGUCGUAGAGCGCUGAAACUUGCAUGUUUGGGGUGGAAGAUUUUUCUGAGUCCAAUGAACCAACUCCCGAGUCUCUAGGACGUUCCUAAAAAAAGUUGAUUUUUUCCAAUAGGAAUGCAUGGGAAGAAAAUUUUGAGUGAAGAAAAUUCAUUGAAGUGCCGACCCAAUUUUUCACCUUCCAGAAUUGUGUUAGGAGUACGUUUCAGGCCACGGGGAGUCUAUAGAACCUAAUUCUGGGGGAAGUUUUUUGAAAAGUUUACUUAGGGUUAGGGUUAGGGUUAGGGUUGGAGCUAGGGUUAGGGUUAGGGUUGGAGCUAGGGUUAGGGUUAGGGUUAGGGUUGGAGUUAAGGUUGGAGCUAAGGUUAGGGUUAGGGUUAGGGUUGGAGCUAGGGUUAGGGUUAGGGUUAGGGUUGGAGUUAGGGUUGGAGCUAGGGUUAGGGUUAGGGGUUAGGGUUAGGGUUGGAGCUAGGGUUAGGGUUAGGGUUAGGGUUGGAGUUAGGGUUGGAGCUAGGAUUAGGGUUAGGGUUGGAGCUAGGGUUAGGGUUAGGGUUGGAGCUAGGGUUGGAGCUAGGGUUGGAGUUAGGGUUUGAGCUAGGGUUAGGGUUAGGGUUGGAGCUAGGGUUAGGGUUGGAGUUAGGGUUGCAGCUAGGGUUAGGGUUAGGGUUAGGGUUGGAGCUAGGGUUAGGGUUAGGGUUGGAGUUAGGGUUAGGGUUAGGGUUAGGGUUGGAGUUAGGGUUGGAGCUAGGGUUAGGGUUAGGGUUGGAGCUAGGGUUAGGGUUAGGGUUGGAGCUAGGGUUAGGGUUCGGGUUAGGGUUGGAGCUAGGGUUAGGGUUAGGGUUAGAGCUAGGGUUAGGGUUAGGGUUGGAGCUAGGGUUAGGGUUAGGGUUGGAGCUAGGGUUAGGGUUAGGGUUGGAGCUAGGGUUAGGGUUGGAGCUAGGAUUGGAGUUAGGGUUUGAGCUAGGGUUAGGGUUAGGGUUGGAGCUAGGGUUAGGGUUGGAGUUAGGGUUGCAGCUAGGGUUAGGGUUAGGGUUAGAGCUAGGGUUAGGGUUAGGGUUAGGGUUGGAGUUAGGGUUGCAGCUAGGGUUAGGGUUAGGGUUGGAGCUAGGGUUAGGGUUAGGGUUAGGGUUAGGGUUAGGUAUAUGCAUUUUGGAGGUCGUAGAGUGCUGAAACUUGCAUGUUGGGGGUGGAAGAAUUUUCUGAGUCCAAUGAACCAACUCCCGAGUCUCUAGGACGUUCCUAAAAAAAGUUGAUUUUUUCCCAUAGGAAUGCAUGGGAAGAAAAUUUUGAGUGAAGAAAAUUCAUUGAAGUGCCGACCCAAUUUUUCACCUUCCAGAAUUGUGUUAGGAGUACGUUUCAGGCCACGGGGAGUCUAUAGAACCUAAUUCUGGGGGAAGUUUUUUGAAAAGUUUACUUAGGGUUAGGGUUAGGGUUGGAGCUAGGGUUAGGGUUAGGGUUGGAGCUAGGGUUAGGGUUAGGGUUAGGGUUGGAGUUAAGGUUGGAGCUAGGGUUAGGGUUAGGGUUGGAGCUAGGGUUAGGGUUCGGGUUAGGGUUGGAGCUAGGGUUAGGGUUAGGGUUAGGGUUGGAGUUAGGGUUGGAGCUAGGGUUAGGGUUAGGGUUGGAGCUAGGGUUAGGGUUAGGGUUGGAGCUAGGGUUAGGGUUCGGGUUAGGGUUGGAGCUAGGGUUGGAGUUAGGGUUUGAGCUAGGGUUAGGGUUAGGGUUAGGGUUGGAGUUAGGGUUGCAGCUAGGGUUAGGGUUAGGGUUGGAGUUAGGGUUGCAGCUAGGGUUAGGGUUAGGGUUAGGGUUGGGGCUAGGGUUAGGGUUAGGGUUGGAGUUAGGGUUAGGGUUAGGGUUAGGGUUAGGUAUAUGCAUUUUGGAGGUCGUAGAGUGCUGAAACUUGCAUGUUGGGGGUGGAAGAAUUUUCUGAGUCCAAUGAACCAACUCCCGAGUCUCUAGGACGUUCCUAAAAAAAGUUGAUUUUUUCCCAUAGGAAUGCAUGGGAAGAAAAUUUUGAGUGAAGAAAAUUCAUUGAAGUGCCGACCCAAUUUUUCACCUUCCAGAAUUGUGUUAGGAGUACGUUUCAGGCCACGGGGAGUCUAUAGAACCUAAUUCUGGGGGAAGUUUUUUGAAAAGUUUACUUAGGGUUAGGGUUAGGGUUAGGGUUAGGGUUGGAGCUAGGGUUAGGGUUGGAGUUGGAGUUAGAGUUGCAGCUAGGGUUAGGGUUAGGGUUAGGGUUGGAGCUAGGGUUAGGGUUGCAGCUAGGGAUAGGGUUAGGGUUGGAGCUAGGGUUUUGGUUGGAGCUAGGGUUAGGGUUAGGGCUGGGGUUAGGAUUAGGGUU
rnacentral:lncRNA from 1 species